rnacentral:rRNA from 1 species
CCCUUAGAUGUUCUGGGCCGCACGCGCGCUACACUGAUGCAUUCAACGAGCCUAGCCUUGACCGAGAGGUCCGGGUAAUCUUUGAAACUGCAUCGUGAUGGGGCUAGAUUAUUGCAAUUAUUAAUCUUCAACGAGGAAUGCCUAGUAAGCGUGAUUCACCAAAUCGCGUUGAUUACGUCCCUGCCCUUUGUACACACCGCCCGUCGCUCCUACCGAUUGAGUGUGUUGGUGAGGAGUUUGGAUUGGCCUCGGAAGGUGGUUCGCCACCGUCCGUAGCUGAGAAGUUCUCCAAACCGCCCCACUUAGAGGAAGGAGAAGUCGUAACA